rnacentral:rRNA from 1 species
CUACGGGUCGCUGCAGUGAGGAAUAUUGCACAAUGGGGGGAACCCUGAUGCAGCAACGCCGCGUGGAGGAUGACGCAUUUCGGUGUGUAAACUCCUUUUAUAUGUCAAGAAAAUGACGGUAGCAUAUGAAUAAGCACCGGCUAACUCCGUGCCAGCAGCCGCGGUAAUACGGAGGGUGCAAGCGUUACUCGGAAUCACUGGGCGUAAAGGACGCGUAGGCGGGUUGGAAAGUCAGGUGUGAAAUCCUACAGCCUAACUGUAGAACUGCACUUGAAACUUCUAAUCUAGAGUAUGGGAGGGGGAGAUGGAAUUAGUGGUAUAGGGGUAAAAUCCGUAGAUAUCACUAGGAAUACCUAAAGCGAAGGCGAUCUCCUGGAACAUUACUGACGCUAAGGCGUGAAAGCGUGGGGAGCAAACAGGAUUAGAUACCCCAGUAGUC